CAGAGCCUUAAGAAGAACUUCCCCACUGGUGACACUCGAAUCUGGGAACCCUGAGACCAGGAAGCUAAGAAGCCAGCACUGGCCUGCUGGAUGAUGAGUACCACCCCUAUGCCUGCUGACAGCCAGCCGACCCCAGAUCUGAUGGGCUCCUGCCUGAGUGUGCCCAGAUGACACCAACUAGAGCAGAGAGAUGGAGUCUACGUUGCCCAGGCUGGUUUUGAACUACUGGGCUCAAGCGAUCCUCCCCCCUCAGCCUAUUGAGCAGCUGAGACUAUAGUGUUUGAACUCACCAUAAGACUGACACACCACGUGCACCAGGGGAUAAGACUUCCAGAGGACUCGGUCACACCAGGAAGGCAAGUUGUACUUCAUCUGCAAAUCAAAGUCAUAGGCUUUAAAAAAUGCCUCUUAUUAUUAUUUUUUUAAUCAGUAAAAGAACAGAUUAACUGGUGGCCUCUGUAAUCCUCAAAUUCAUCGGCUGUUGGCUUUUUAUAGAAUUUCCCUGUAGGUGGCUUUAAACUUUUUUCACAUGGCUCAAGUCCAGACUCCACUGCCACGCCUUCUUCUUUAGACUAAGAUAACUCACCUUGCUGUAUUCCCUCACAUAUCCUCCUGACUACUUCAGUAUCCCUUGUAUCUUCACCUUCUCUUACUUUCUUUCUGACUCAGAUGAACCCCCACCUGUAUUUUCAGCUCAGUCUCUGCUCACUUUCUGCAGUCACUUACUUUAAUAACACACUUCAGCUUCCACCCCCAGUUCUAUUCAUCCAUCUGUCCACCUUUUCAUCUCCCCAUCUACCCAUCUUUACUCAUUCACCCAUCCAUCCAUCCACCUACCCACCUAUUCAUUCAUCCAUCCACCCAUCCACUUAUCUACCUAUUCAUUCAUCUAUCCAUCCACCCAUCCAUCCAACUACCUGUCCAUUUCAUCCAUCCACCCAUCCACCUAUUCAUCCACUCAUCCAUCCACCCACCCACCCAUCCAUCCACCCACCGACUAGCCAUCCAUCCAUCCACC
rnacentral:lncRNA from 10 species